rnacentral:rRNA from 1 species
AGGACGAACGCUGGCGGCGUGCUUAACACAUGCAAGUCGAACGAUGAAAGAGGAGCUUGCUCCUCUGGAUUAGUGGCGAACGGGUGAGUAACACGUGAGCAAUCUGCCCCUGACUCCGGAAUAACUACGGGAAACUGUAGCUAAUACCGGAUAUGCGCCGAACAGGCAUCUGUAUCGGUGGGAAAGAAUUUCGGUCAGGGAUGAGCUCGCGGCCUAUCAGCUUGUUGGUGAGGUAACGGCUCACCAAGGCGACGACGGGUAGCCGGCCUGAGAGGGUGACCGGCCACAUUGGGACUGAGACACGGCCCAGACUCCUACGGGAGGCAGCAGUGGGGAAUAUUGCACAAUGGGCGCAAGCCUGAUGCAGCAACGCCGCGUGAGGGAUGACGGCCUUCGGGUUGUAAACCUCUUUUAGCAGGGAAGAAGCGAAAGUGACGGUACCUGCAGAAAAAGCGCCGGCUAACUACGUGCCAGCAGCCGCGGUAAUACGUAGGGCGCAAGCGUUGUCCGGAAUUAUUGGGCGUAAAGAGCUCGUAGGCGGUCUGUCGCGUCUGCUGUGAAAUCCCGAGGCUCAACCUCGGGCUUGCAGUGGGUACGGGCAGACUAGAGUGCGGUAGGGGAGAAUGGAAUUCCUGGUGUAGCGGUGGAAUGCGCAGAU